rnacentral:rRNA from 1 species
GAUGAACGCUGGCGGCGUGCCUAAUACAUGCAAGUCGAGCGAACGGACGAGAAGCUUGCUUCUCUGAUGUUAGCGGCGGACGGGUGAGUAACACGUGGAUAACCUACCUAUAAGACUGGGGUAACUUCGGGAAACCGGAGCUAAUACCGGAUAAUAUUUUGAACCGCAUGGUUCAAAAGUAAAAGACGGUCUUGCUGUCACUUAUAGAUGGAUCCGCGCUGCAUUAGCUAGUUGGUAAGGUAACGGCUUACCAAGGCAACGAUGCAUAGCCGACCUGAGAGGGUGAUCGGCCACACUGGAACUGAGACACGGUCCAGACUCCUACGGGAGGCAGCAGUAGGGAAUCUUCCGCAAUGGGCGAAAGCCUGACGGAGCAACGCCGCGUGAGUGAUGAAGGUCUUCGGAUCGUAAAACUCUGUUAUUAGGGAAGAACAUAUGUGUAAGUAACUGUGCACAUCUUGACGGUACCUAAUCAGAAAGCCACGGCUAACUACGUG